rnacentral:rRNA from 1 species
UAAUACGUAGGAGGCAAGCGUUAUCCGGAUUUACUGGGCGUAAAGAGGGCGUAGGCGGUUUGGCAAGUCGGAUGUAAAAUCUCCCGGCUUAACUGGGAGGGACCAUUCGAUACUGCUAGACUAGAGGGCAGCAGAGGGAGGUGGAAUUCCCGGUGUAGUGGUGAAAUGCGUAGAUAUCGGGAGGAACACCAGUGGCGAAGGCGGCCUCCUGGGCUGUUACUGACGCUGAGGCCCGAAAGCGUGGGGAGCGAACAGGAUUAGAUACCCUGGUAGUCCACGCCGUAAACGAUGGACACUAGGUACAGGGGGUAUCGACCCCCUCUGCGCCGAAGCUAACGCAUUAAGUGUCCCGCCUGGGGACUACGGUCGCAAGACUA